AGAUGAAGAUGAUGAGGAGAAAGAAAGAGAGGGGAAAGGAAGAAUGUUUAAGUGAUUAUUUUAUUUUUUCUUUUUUUUUUUUUUUUU
rnacentral:ribozyme from 1 species